ACCAGUUAUGUGCUUUUUCAAAGAUGAUUCACUUUAAGAGUUUUUUUAAUCCAAAAACAUUUUCGCUAAAAAUUCAGUUAUUUUAAAAGCACUUUUAAACAAGUCAUAUGAUUAGAGUUGUUUUAACUUUGGAGGGGUUUGAGGAAGAAUAAAGGAGUGAAAUGAAUUGCAAGUGAAGUAAUCGAACUUCUGAGUUUAUUAACAGUUUGAAGGAAGAAUUUUUGCUAAAUAUGGUCAAAAGUGUUAGAAUAUGUGUAGUUGGGGAAUUUGCUUUUUAAAAUGCUAAAUUAAUUUUCUCUGUAAAUGAUCAUUAUCUCUUCCUUCAACUUGUGAUUGAAUAUUUGAUUUCCAAUUGCUUCGUUCGAUCUGUUGUUCUUGUCGAAGAACAUCACAUGAAUUUGCCUUUACAAAAUCUGAAAAGUGGGUGAAUAUAAAUAUCUGUCUGCUGUAGUGCAUUGAUAUAUUCCUUCCUGCAGCAUAUUAUGGCAACAGCUAGCAUCUUGCAUAAAAACCUUAUGCAAACAUUAUCACAUCAAGGGUGUCGACCGUAUGAAUCUUCGAACGUCCAAUGCACUUGAUUUUGUCCCAAAUCUUUUGUUAGCAUCAAGUACUCCAUAUCUUUUCUUAAAUCUCUUCCUAAGUUUUCUUAAGUCUUCCUCUACUACUUUUAACCCAAGUUUCCCUCUCGUAUUUAGUCACAUCUUCUAACUGAAGCAUCUAUAGGUCUUCAGUUCAUGUGUCAAAACCAUCUUAACUGACCAUCUUAACCGAUAACGUACAGAUGCUCCGAUUAGAAAAUACGACUAUACAAUGUCAAAUUAACCAAAAACUCUCUCGCGAUUCAUAUAACUAAGCCGCUUGGCACACACUAUCACACGUCUGAGUAGGGUUUUCUGACCAAGUGUAUUUCUAUUAGAUGAAAGAAUUUAAACAAGUUAUAACUCUAUAUAUGUUAUCAUGCAGUGAUAAUUAAAGAACUAAGUUUUGUUAAUGAAUGGUAUCAAGGGAAUAAUUUGGAGUAUUGAUCAAUGUUCUGUUCAUUGAAGGAAGGAAGGAAUGUUUGAUAUGCUCUUUCUAUUUGUAGGUUAGAGAAGGCAAAUUUAUAUUAAAAUGCAUUUGUUUUUUGCUACAUGGUCAUACCAAUUUGACUAGACCAAGAUCAACUUCAAGAUUGGAAAACCUUUUUCAAUUGUAUAUAUAGGAAAUUAUUAAAAAUACUUUUAUCUUUUUGGUUCGUAAUUUAAAAUUUUGGCGUCCAAUUGUUCAUGAAAGCCAAAAUAAAUUACUAGAGAAGGUCGUGGAUAGUAAUAAUUGUAACUAAGCUGAUCGAAAAUUUUGAUUUGAAACGCUGAGAAACUAGCGAUUAUUGAGAUCUUCUAGGGUGUAAAUAGAAGACUUACAUUUAGCUACGCCUCUUAAAAUUUGGUUUUAAUCUCAUUUUGUCUUUUGUAACUCAAAAAUUAUAAUUUUACUUCUGAAAUUCAAAAUUCGUUCUACUUUGACUUUGGACUGUCUCUUCUCCCUAAAACUCAAAAGUUGACUGUUGAAACAUACGUGAGACCCACCACCCAAUAAGACUAUGCCACAUGUGCCAAUAAAUUUGAUUAUAAAUCUCUACUAUGCAUUAGCCUUCAACAAUUUAGAAAAUAUUAAGUUUAAAAGAAGAAAUUAAGAAUUGAAAUUUUUUGGGUUGUUGAGUUGCAGAGAUGAAAAAAAAUAAAAAAGAAAUUGAUUAGUCUAGUGCACCCAAACCAAACUCACAUAACGGAAUUAACAUAACUAAGGCAAUAUGGAGUGAAUUUUGGGUUUUGUAGAGUAAAAUGACGUAUUUUGAGUUUCAAGAGACAAAAUGAAAUUAAAAUUGAGUUCAAAUGGGUAAAGUGGAGCGGAUUUUGAAUUUCAGAGAUUAAAGUAACGACUUUGAGUUACAAGGAGUAAAGUGAGAUUAAAGUCGAGUUUUAAGGGGCGUAGUUAAAAUUAAGCCUAAAUAGAAUAGAGAUUGCCAGGUCUAAUAGAGAGUAUAAUUUAGGGGGUUUAACUAUAAAAAAAAAUAGAAAAUUUUAUUUUAAUCCUUAAAAAAGAUGAGUUUUAGACUAUAACCUUGUGUAAGAUUAAAAUCUAAUUGUAGUCCCUAAUACAUUUAAUCAUCUCAUUUAUUAAUUAUAUUUUGAUGUUUUUCCCUAUUUUUAAUGUAUUAAUUACAUUUAAUAUUCAUUUCAUUCAUCAUAAUAUAUUUUGAUGUCUACAUUUAGGUAAACUAAUUUUUUUUAUAUAAUAUAUUCCGAUACAAUUUGUAUAAUAUUUCAUUUAAGUACAUUAAUUCAUUUGAUAUACUUCGCCGUAUAUCCAUUGAUACAAAUAUAUAAUACAUUUCGGUAUGUAAAUUUUGGUACAUUAGUUCAAUAUAAUACAUUUUGAUACAUACAUUUCGAUAUUGACAUUUAGGUACAUUAAUUCAAUAUAAUAUAUUUCGGGACAUACAUUUAGGUUCAUUUAUAUAAAAAAAAAUUGUCAAAAGAUAGAAUUGUUAUAUUAGAUGUUAGAUUAGUCACCAGCGGGAUUUGAACUCACGCCAUCAUGCAAGCGCUCAACACCUUUUCACCAAUGUGGUAAAGGUUCACUUGCUUAUGUUCAUUUAUAAUUGAAAGGACUAAUAUGUGGGGACAUUAAAUAAAAAUACACCUUAAAUAACAAAAAUAGAAUAUAAAUUUUAAUAAAAGUACACGUUAAAUGAUUAAAUUGAAUAUGUAAUCUAGGACAAGGUUUUUUUAAAAUUCUAAUCUUUUGCAAGGACUAAUGUUCAAAAACUCAAAAAAAAAAAUGAGUUUAUCUGGUGAAAAAGAAAGAAGAAUUAUUUAAGGAAUAAAGAAACAGAAAUAUGAAAAUGAGAUUAAACUAUAGAGUAAUGGUAAGGAGACAAAAAAAUUUAAAUCAAAUUACAAACCAAAUGAUGUGUCACUAAUAAGAAACAAGCAUGUUAAUCAACACUUAAUUAAUAAUCCAAUCAUCUCCAACUACAUCAUUUAGUUUGCAAAUUUGAUUUAAAAAAAUUUGAUCUUCCUAGCAUUACUCUAAACUAUAAUUACCCCUGUUAUAUAUACUUGAAACUUUUCUAUCAACGAAAAAAAAAAAUUGAAACUUGUAAGGAAAAGUUAUAUUUCUCACAAAGGGUGCAUAAUUCAGACCAAGAACUAGGAAGUUGGUCUAGUCAGGCUAAUUAAAAAUUGGUCUCUAAACUCUAUUGGUAAUGUCUUAAUCUUUUAAAACAUUCCAAAUAAUUAUCCAACGUUUUGAAAAUUGGAUAUUUGUUAGGUUCACUAGCGUUUAUGUGGACAAUUAUUAGGUUCACUAGCGUUAAGUGAUGACGUGAACAAUUAUUAGAGCAGAUUUUUACUCUCAAAUCAAUUAUGGAAUUUUGAAUUUCUAAAUUGACGCAGUUUAGUUAAGCAAAUUUAUGACUUAACUUAGCUAAAAGGAUUCGAUUUGGGCUCUAAAGACAACAAUUAAUAAAGACCAGCUUUAGUAUUUGUCCAAAACGUUAGUAGUGACCAACGUAUUAUUGGUGAAGUCAUCACUUAACACCGAUGAUCUAAUAAAUGUUUAAUUUUUACAACGUUAAGAAGUCAUUUGGAAUGUUUUAAAAGCUUGAGACUAAUUAAAAAUCACCCCAAAAAUUGGGUAGUUCUCUGUACUUAAACCAUUUUGCUUAUUUUGAGUUUUUUUUUUCCGUGAAACUUCAUCGAAGCACAUCUUAUUUUGUCCAGUUCAAAAGAAAAGUAAUUAUUUUGGGUUUAACACAUGAAAGUGGUUAAACGCCGGGAACAUAAAAGGGCCCAGGGUUUUAAAAACUUGUAUCUUCUUCCUCCUCCUUGCUCCCGCAGCGAUUGCUUUCCCCAGUUGCUGCUUCUUCUCAAGCAGAUUUCAGUUGGGAAAAUGGGUUCCGAUCAAGGGUUUUUUCAGCGUCUGGAUGGGCAACUGUCCUUGCCACAACGUGCAUCUGCCCCUGUAUCCAUAUAUCGUUUCAAUUUUAUCGGAUGUCAUUGAUCCAAAGAACAUAUUAUUCUGUUAUUUUCCUCGUACAUGUUUUGUGAAUAGGAUAAACGGCGGGAAAAGUAUGGUUAGUUAUAACUAAUAAGCAAUUACAACACAUGAAUUAAGGAUAUGCCAAUUAGGUACUUAAGAUGGUUGAUCGUACGUAGUUGUCCUGUUAGCUAACUGCAAUCUAAUAGAAAUGACCUGUGGAUGCGACGGAAAA
rnacentral:lncRNA from 1 species